GACUGUAGGUGGAGGUAUAGAGGUAUGUGACUGUAGGUGGAGGUAUAGAGGUAUGUGACUGUAGGUGGAGGUAAAGAGGUAUGGGACUGUAGGUGGAGGUAAAGAGGUAUGUGACUGUAGGUGGAGGUAAAGAGGUAUGGGACUGUAGGUGGAGG